GUGGGGAAUCUUGCGCAAUGGGCGAAAGCCUGACGCAGCCAUGCCGCGUGAAUGAUGAAGGUCUUAGGAUUGUAAAAUUCUUUCACCGGGGACGAUAAUGACGGUACCCGGAGAAGAAGCUCCGGCUAACUUCGUGCCAGCAGCCGCGGUAAUACGGAGGGUGCAAGCGUUAUCCGGAAUCACUGGGUUUAAAGGGCACGUAGGCGGUUAAUUAAGUCAGUAGUGAAAGACUGUCGCUCAACGACGGAUGUGCUAUUGAUACUGGUUAACUUGAAUCAGGUUAGAGUUGGCGGAAUGGGUCAUGUAGCGGUGAAAUGCUUAGAUAUGACUUGGAACACCGAUAGCGAAGGCAGCUGACUGAGCCUUGAUUGACGCUGAGGUACGAAAGUGUGGGUAGCGAACAGGAUUAGAUACCCGAGUAGUCC
rnacentral:rRNA from 1 species